UACGUAGGGGGCAAGCGUUGUCCGGAUUUAUUGGGCGUAAAGAGCGUGUAGGCGGCUCGGUAAGUCCGCUGUAAAAGUCCAGGGCUCAACCCUGGGAUGCCGGUGGAAACUGUCGGGCUAGAGUCCGGGAGAGGCGAGUGGAAUUCCUGGUGUAGCGGUGAAAUGCGCAGAUAUCAGGAGGAACACCAAUGGCGAAGGCAGCUCGCUGGAACGGUACUGACGCUGAGACGCGAAAGCGUGGGGAGCAAACAGG
rnacentral:rRNA from 1 species